GAAGCUCACUAUAUAAGCAACCGUCUAGGGUUUUUUCUCCCCUCGUCUAUUGUUUCCUGCUUCCUAUCAGCAGCCCAUCCUCGACCAUGGCGGAACAGACGGAGAAAGCAUUUUUGAAGCAACCCAAGGUUUUCCUGAGCUCCAAGAAAUCUGGAAAAGGAAAGAGGCCUGGUAAAGGUGGAAACCGCUUCUGGAAAAGCAUCGGAUUGGGUUUCAAGACACCCAGAGAGGCCAUUGAAGGUUUGUUGCUUUUUACUUCCAUUUUGCUCCUUUUACAUAUGGUUUUUAUCCACUGUCUCUUGUGAAUUUGAACUGUUAUUUCUAUACACAUUUCAUUUUUGUGGACUUUUUGUAUUUUUAUUGGGUUAGUUUGGGUUUCAUUUUGGGCUGAACUCUUUGAGAAGAGAAAUUUGUUGAUAUGGGUAGAAGAUCUUGAUGCUUUUGUUGGAAUAGUUAUGUGACCCUGAUAUGGUCACAGCAUUAUGUAUACCGUACAACUAUUUGGAGAUCCUUAGGAUCAGGGAUGUUGCUUCUAGGUCCAUUACUUGUGAUUGUUGUGGAAAAGUUGUCUUGGAGACGUUUCCUGUAAAUGCUUUUUGUUGAACUUGAUGGAUCAAUAUGCAUUCUCUAACCAGGGUUUGGGUAUAUGAAUACCAUUGAAAUAAAGCAACCAUUAGCUUAUGUAUUGAUUACUAAAGUUUUUGCUUUGUGUGUUAUUUACCGUUGAACUAUUCAUAACUGUAUUAUUCUUCUGACUUCUUUGGCUUGUGUUCUUGAGUUUCUUAUGAAUUAUGUACUGCAUGAUGUGCUCCACAGAAUUUGGUUGAUCAUGUGAAUUUUUGUAUACCUAAAUGACUACCCAGUUUCCAUACUUCAUCAUUGCUUUCUAAGCAAAGAAAAUAUGGUAGUUACAAUGUAGUGGCUGGCUACAGUGAUGGCUGUAUUGGUAAGUUCCGUAAAAACUGCAUUUUGAUUAUUGAGGUUUUAUUGUUGUUGACAGGAACAUAUAUUGACAAGAAAUGCCCUUUUACUGGCAAUGUCUCUAUUAGAGGCCGUAUUCUUGCUGGCACUUGCCACAGUGCAAAAAUGACAAGAACCAUUAUUGUACGGAGGAAUUAUCUUCACUUCAUCAAGAAAUACCAG
rnacentral:misc_RNA from 1 species